rnacentral:rRNA from 1 species
AACGAACGCUGGCGGCAUGCCUAACACAUGCAAGUCGAACGAGACCUUCGGGUCUAGUGGCGCACGGGUGCGUAACGCGUGGGAACCUGCCCUAGGUUCGGAAUAACUCCCCGAAAGGGGUGCUAAUACCGGAUAAUGUCUUCGGACCAAAGAUUUAUCGCCUUUGGAUGGGCCCGCGUUGGAUUAGCUAGUUGGUAGGGUAAAAGCCUACCAAGGCGACGAUCCAUAGCUGGUCUGAGAGGAUGAUCAGCCACACUGGGACUGAGACACGGCCCAGACUCCUACGGGAAGCAGCAGUGGGGAAUAUUGGACAAUGGGCGAAAGCCUGAUCCAGCAAUGCCGCGUGAGUGAUGAAGGCCUUAGGGUUGUAAAGCUCUUUUACCCGGGAUGAUAAUGACAGUACCGGGAGAAUAAGCUCCGGCUAACUCCGUG